UUCCGUUGCCGCUCUGCCUCUGCACCCCCGGGCAUGGCUCCGGCCGGUCCCAUUUCAUCCUCCCCACGAACCUCCCAAGCCUUGUUGCCAUGAGCCACGUUCACAAACGAAAUCUUCCAGCCUCACGGACCAUAUGAACUCGCCCAAGCCGCCUCGGCUGGGAAGGUGGAGCGAAGGGAUUUGAAUACAGGACUUUUUUUUUUUUCUUCCUCUUUUACUCUAUUUCGCUUGGCUCCCGACUCCUAGGGCGCCAAGGAAGGUAAUUCGCGCCCCUUCGCGCCGGCUGUCGUGAUGCUUCCCGGAGCAGUCCUGGGUGCGCCUCCUGGGGAGCGCUGGGGCGGAGGCAUGGCUGCGCUGAGUGAUGCAGAACUAAAGUGGAAAUGACCCAGUGAGGAAGGAAAGUGAGCACCGCCUGCCCUGGCCACACAAUUAAAACAUAUACGCUGGCCAAAGGUGCAUCACUCCUCCACCCAUCUCUUCAGACUGAGAAAGGCUCAUUUUGACCUGGAAGCCUAUUAAAGCAUUCCACUGGGGGAAUUCUCUGCCCCUGCUGGAGGGACACUGUGAGAAAAUCUUGUUCUUUAGAAUGCAGCCACACAAAAGGUUUUGUGCAAAUACAGAGUCAUGAUUCUAUAAAUGCAAAGAAGAAUUAGGGAUGGUAUGUGAACGAAAGCUGGACAGAGGAUGCACGCCCAGAUGCUGUCUUGGCCAGGUUGCAGUUUCAAUGAUCUAAUGUUUUCUGGCUCCUUCUUGCUUUGCUUUUCCAAUUUGGUUUGAAUAUUUGCAUUGCUGUAUUAUUUUUCCUGUACAAUUGCUGUUGUCUGUACACAAUUAGGUCAUUUUCACAGUUGGGUGAGGAGACACUUCAGACCUGAGAUGAGCUGCAGCUGCUAGCUGACUCCCUCCUGGGUUGUGUAAUUAGAUUCCUGUCCUGUUGGCCCCAAAGACACUACCUGCACCCAACAUCUGUUGGAUUUUAAUGUAAGCCAUCUAACCAAGUGGAAAGAAACCAUGACAUCCCUUUGUAAUGGUGGCUAAGCACAUCUUGUCUUUGUAAGUUUGGGGUUAAUUUGCUGAUCUAGUCAUCCUGUUCUUUGUGCCAAAUCUAACCUUGUAUUGCUAUGCUCCAGAUAAGAGAAAGGACUGUUUCCUGGCAGCCAGUGGCUUCUUGGUUUGUGGCAGGUCUGCUGAAGACCUGGGCAAGGGAGAAGAAAAGGAAAUUAACAGGACGAGGAGGAAGGACCAGCUGUCUCCAGAAGUGCACACGGAAAUUCAUGUAGAUGUUCAGGUGCUGAAGGAACAGCAAUGAAAUGGAAAGACAAGGUCUCUGUCCUAGUAACAGAUGAUGCUGGAAGGAGAAAGCAAGGCUGGUAUUUGGACUUUGGAUUUUAUCUGAAAAGCAAUAUAAAAUACUUAAAGGUUUUGGACAGUUUUUUUCAGUCUCCAGCACCAGCUGGCCCCUGCAUGUAAGGAGGCUACUAACUCAAGCAACACUGCUGGUGGACCCAUCAUUUAGCCCAGAUCAUAGAAGGAUUCUCAACUAAAUCUGUUCAGUUCCAUCUUGUUUGGAGGGAGACAUGCUCCUCAUCAUGCCCACAUCCUCACACAGACUGUCCAGAUGACAGCUCACCUACAGACAGAUGGUUUAGGAAUCAGCUAAGCGCUGGAUUUCUUAAUAUUGCCAGGAGUAACUCAGAAGGCUGGGGAUAUGGCUGGAAAGAUGAGACACCCAAGCUUUUGAAAACCACAGUUUUGGUCUCAAUGAAUUUCUCUCAGAGUCUCCAGACUGCCUUGGCUGACGACUUGUUCCUCUUGGGACAGUUUUCGCCCGAGCUGAGCAGCCUGGCCCCCAGCUGUGCGGGGCCCUCUCUCCGCAAAAUAUGAGUAACAUGGAUGAAAGACUCAAGGCAGGAACUGAAAACAUUAGAAGAAACAGCACACUGUCCAUCAACGGCAAGAAAAACCUCCAAGAAAAGCGGUUUCACAAACUCUGAAGAAACUGUCCUACUUUUCCAAAAAAUUCGGCCAUCAUCUUAAUAACAGUUGACCAAAAUCCUUCUGUUAAAUAUCUUUGGAUCAAGGAAACAUCAGCAUCAGAAUGUGCAGAAUGGGUGUCAGUGUCUGACUUUUUGUGACCCGAUGGACUGAAGCCCGCCAGGCCCCUCUGUCAGAAUUUU